AUCGGGACAGGGAGAGGGAGAGACACGGAGCUGAAUUCUCCGGCAAGUAGCUGCGAUCGGCUUCAGAGAGUGAGCUCAGAGCCGGUGUGUGGGAGCGUCGCUGGGAGAAAGGAGCGGACAGAAUUCACAAAUCUCGGAUAGAGGUACUCAUGGAGUUCCUGACUCAAUAGACUUGCCAACUGCUGGCUGGGACGAUGGUUGGUCAGCCGGAAAGACACAGUCAGGGAGGUCGGAGUCUUCAAUCAAUCCUGCUGCCAGUUACUCAGGAAAGUCCUGACUCAAUAGCCUUCCCAGCUGCUGGGUGGAUUGUCCAUCACCACAUUGAACGCAGUUGGUCUGCCAGAGGGAGACAAAGGGCAGGGAGAUCUGGAGCCUUCAAUAAAUCCUGUAGUGAGGUAAGGCCCCCCACAGUGCACAGAGCAAAGAGCAAUGAGAGGGCUCCAAACAUUUGUUAACACAACAUGACAUAGAUACAGUGCUAGAGGGGAGCACAGUGCACACACACCCCAGACUC